CUGGAAGAGAGUAGGUGAGUUGUGUUUAGCCUCUUUUCUAAAGAAAUGAGUCAAAGUUAAAAAGAUGUUUGGUGUCUAGUACUAUGGCUGUGACCCUAUAUGUCCUGUUGAUGAAGUUAGGUGCUGUUCUGGGCAUUAUUUGUGGCUAUAGAGUGGCGUUUUGGUUGAGGUUUGUUUAUGGCUCCUCAGACCGCUGUGUAUUGCUAUCAUGCGGUCGUUACUAAAGUUGGUAUAACUAGAGAAGCAAGCGGUCGGCAACAUUCAUCUCUGGAGGGGGGGUCUAACUCGGUGUAAUAGUGUGUUUGACCCUAAAUUAAUUUUAUGCCAGUAUGUCCCUUUUAAGAUCGUUGCUCCUGUGCAAACACCUUGAUGGUU